GACAUAUUUAUUGUACAAAGACUUCUUCCAAUUCUGGAAGAGUACUGCCAUCUUCUUCAUAGUCCAGUCAUAAAUUCGCACCUUCAACUCUUCAUCGUUGGUGUCGAAGGUGAAAACGUCUGUGACGGCUUUCCAAACUAACUCCUUGUCACGAUCAGAGACAAAACUGAUCUCAGGAGCACCUCGCUUCUCUCUCCAUUCACGACAACUGAUCGGUAUUUGAUCUCUCACAAGAUAUCCACAGUGACUAACAUAUUUGUUUGCAUGCUCACCAAGUGGUCUACCUGUAGCUAUCUCAAACUCAGAGAUUACAUAGCGGCCCUCCAACGGCUUCUUUGGCCCUCGUGGAGGUACGCUUCUCCCCGUAGAGGUCGAUCCAGAAGGCUACACGUACAUAUAGAAACAAAAAUACUAAAUUAAUAACCAAGUAAUAAGUCUAGAACCUAAUGUAAGAGAUGCAUUAAUUAUAUAUGUUUACAUUUACAUACCUCGCCAGUAUUUUCUUCUUGUUGCACGACAAGUUGUUGCUCAGGGGCAUUGCCCUCUUGUUGCUCAGUAGGAUUGCCUUGCAUGAUGUCGUGGUAAUCAACAAAGUACUGACUACCGUCGUCGAUCAUAUUUAAAAUGGCAUCUUCCAUAUAAUCAGGAUCAUCAUGAUGACGGUCAGCCAUUUCUAUGUCUGCAACCAUACAUAUAUAUAUAUAUAUUCUAUGUAAGACAAUACUACUACAAAUGAAAGUGUUGGAGUGCUCUAAAAAUAAUACUAGGAUCUUUUAAGCCAAGUAAUACAUUAGAAUAAAAAACAAUACUAGAAUAAUAUAUAGUACAAACAAAAAUAUAUACAAAACCCUACUAGAAUAAAUUUGGUGGCUAAACACUACUAGAACAUAUAUGUAACACCCUAAAAUGUGUUUUCUGGGAAAUAGAGCUAAAAUGAUUUAUUUAUGAAUUUUUGUACUCAUGAAACAUAGGGGAAUAAUAUUUUUCAUUAAAAUUUAUCAUAAGUUUAGCAACUUGUUUGAGCACUCAUGUUGGAGCAUUUAUUUUCAUUUUAUUGUGUGAUUUUGAGCAAAGUCAAAAUAUUUUUAAAUUGUUUUGAAACUGCUUUGAAAAGACUUUGAAAUAAAAAAAAGAAAGGAAACAAAAAGGAAACAAACAAAAGAAAGAAAAAAAGGAAAAAAAAACCUUCCCCCUCUCCAUCUUUGGCCCCAAGGCCUGGCCCCUCCCUUCCCUCGGCCUCGGCCCAACCCAGCGCGCCACUCUUUUCCUCUUCCCCUCUCUCGGCCUGGUGGCCCAGCAGAGCAAGCAGGCCGGCCCGAAUCCUGGCCUGGUCGGGCGCACCUCCCUCUCCCUCAGUUUUCUCUCCUCUUUGGCUGACGAGCCGGACCCGCACUAUGAGUCACUGACUGGUGGGACCCGCAUGUCAGCUGGCUUCUUCAACCUCAAGCCGUAACCGGCUUGGACUCUGCUCCACCGAAAUCUUCCCCGAUUUCUCGGGAUUUCCUGCCCUGCGUGCGCGAUUGACCCCCUUAAAAGCCUUGGCAUCCCCCCUGCAAUCUUCUUUCGCAUCUAGCACAAUCGAGGAGUUCCUAUCGCCCUGUCCCGCCACCGUUUAGAUCUCGCCGAGGCGCUAGUUACGGCCGCCGUCGUGACCCUCCUCGUCUGCUGUGUCCCGAGCACCGAAAAUCGUGUGCCGCGUUUCGGUUGGAGGUGGUGAGCCUCCCUGCACUUCCCAAUUUCGGUUAUUUUCUCUCCUUGUCGCUCUAAUCCUCGCCGAACGCUGCAGAGCUCCACCGGUCCGCCAAUCCGCGCGGCUGUCCUCCUUCAAGCUUGCUCCGAGCCUUGAAACCCCUCAGGUUAGUUCGCUUGAGUCCACUCUUCGUCCCCAUGCCCUCGGUUCUGUUUUAGUGGACCCUAGCGCUUAGUUCGCGAGCUCCGGCGAGGUUUGCUUGCCUCCGGCCAUGGCGCCGCCGGCCGGGGCUACUGUUGUUGGCCGGCGCCCUCUCCCUCUCCUCCCCAGCUUCUAAUCUUGACCCUUCAUCUUAGAUCCAAUGGACCGCGUUAGUCCAUACCCCUUCGGCUGACAAACUUUCUAAAGAGCCCCUGGUGUUUUUCAAAAUAGAACCCGCAGUCCAAAGCACGUUUUCUGAAAUGCGCUUUCUGAGUUGGAAGACGUAAAGUCUGCCGGCUUGUUUCGAAAAUACGUUUUCAGUAUUUACUAAAAUGCCAUUGAACUUGUUUUGGCUAUAAAGUAUUCAUUUUAACUCCGUUUUUGUCCAUUCAAAUUUCGUU
rnacentral:lncRNA from 1 species